rnacentral:SRP_RNA from 1 species
GCUGGGCAUGGUGGCUCACACCUGUAAUCCUAACACUCUGGGAGGCUGAGGUGGGGGGAUUGCUUGAGUCCAGGAGUUCAAGACCAGCCUGGGCAACAUAGCAAGACCCCAUCUCUA